AGAUAAUUUUCAGUUCUGUGCGUUACGGAGUAUAGCACAGAACGUAUGUCUAAACAUAACGCACCGCACAAAACAGGUAUAUGUGCGGUUCGUUCAUGCGUGUGGUUGUCACGUGAGUGAUGGUCACUCAGGUGGACACAGGCGGGAAUUUGCACGGGGUGUUGAUUGUUUGGUCAGUUCUACGCUAGACUUCGAUCAGUAAACUUGUCUUCGUGUACAAAUCCUACAUCGUGUUGUCGACCUUAGCAGAACACAGGGUGUCCAUGCUGCAAGAUUUGGAACGCAUCAUAGAAAAGAUAAGUGCUAAAAGAAACGUAAAUCUGUUAAAUCCGUUAUACUGAAUCUCGAGCAUAGUAUCGAGUGUUACGAAGUAGUAACAGAGUUGAAACGAUGUAUAUUUCAAGUAACAAUUUCAGCACAAGAGAAUCCGAUCAAUUUUCAAAUAAAAAUAUUGAUGGCACGUGACCGAAAAUUCACAGGUCAUUAAUGGUAGAACACGACAAAAGCUUUCGAACUUACUGGUGAAUAAAUUGCUAUUCUUUGUGGUGUUGUAUACAUUCUAUAUGUAUAUGUGUAAAUGUUUUGCGAGUCUGAUGACGUAACGUUAUUUGCAGAAAAAUACAAGGUAGAGGCGAUGGCAUAUAAAAAGGCGGAAACAUAACGCCACGCGGCGCUCUUGACGGGUCAUAUCAGAAGCCGGAAGCUUCAUCUAACAUCGCAACACAAGGGGCUAAAACUCAAUUACCAUUGAGACGCACAGGACUAUGUUUCGCAUGUGGCGAACCGGGUCAUCGGAGAGGAGCAGCUGGAUGUUCAGCAAACAGCUCGACCAAUAAGUUAAGUUAAUUAUGUAUAGAACCCCGUUAUCAGAAAAUGGGUAGUUUCGUGUUCGUCGGAAAACGUAACGUACAGAAAGUUCCUAAAGUCGAACGUGAUCAAAAGGAUCCAUGUAUAGUUCGCCGGUAAGUUGAAGGAAGGCCCACGCGGUUAAGUAGCAGGAGACUACUGAUAGUAAGUACAUUUUCGAUGUAGUAAAUGGCGGUUAUAAGUUGUUGUUUUUUCCGUCGGAAAACGGUAACGUACAAAAAGAUCUGUCUCAAUGUAUCAAAAGGAUCUUAUUAUAAAACUGGAUCAAAAGGAUCAUAGUAUAGAAAUUGAUGCUAGAAGCUCGCCGGUAAAAAGAACGAAAGCCCAUGUAGCCAAACUGUAGCAGGCUACGGAUGGUUGUUACAUUUUAUAUGUAGUAAAUUGCGGUUAUGUUUCAUUUUCCGUCGGAAAACGGUAACGUACAGAAAGAGAUAAAAGGAGCAAUUGAUCAAAAGGAUCAUAGAAUAGAAAUUUAUCAAAAAGGAAAAAAUCAUAGAAAAAAAAAUUAUAUAUAUAUUGUUACCGGAAGUUUGUCGGUUAGUAGACUGAAAACCCACGUGACAUUUAUCAUGUUGUUAAUACGCCCGUUAAUACGUUUAUAGUCGUAUUUAAUAAGAAUGGGAGGCCUCGAUAUAUUUAAAAUUAUUAUUUAUUUAUUUGUUCUACUUUCGAUAUUAGAGGGGCGUAUCAUGAUAUUGAUACAUUCACGAACGGUAUGGUUUGAGCUAUCAAGAGAAUAGCAGGCAGUGUUAGGUUGUUAUAAGCUUAUAUUUGGCACGAUAACGGCCGAUCAUAUAUUUAUUUAUUUGUUCUACUUUCGAUAUUAGAGGAGCGUAUCAUGAUAUUGAUACAUUCACGAACGGUGUGGUUUGAGCUAUCAAGAGAAUAGCAGGCAGUGUUGUUAUAAGCUUAUAUUUGGCACGAUAACAGCCGAUCAUAUAUUUACUAAAACUCGUUAAAACUAAAAUGAGGUGUACUAGCAUUCUUACGUCAAAUUGACUUAAAAUAGUUAUUUGCUUUUGUGAUGAUGGCAUACAUCACAGUGUAGAAUAUGAAAAAACAUUAUAUGCUAGUGACUAGACGAGUUUGGAUGUUAACUGGCUGAAGAAACAGUAUUUUGAUUCCUUCUCAGAGAGUAGAAUGGCUCGGGCAUGUGAUCGAUAUGCAUAAAAUGCAGUUUUUCAUAAUUAAAAAUUGAGUAGCUAGGCUAGAAAAAAGUAUUGAUUCGAUGAUCUAUCUAAUUUAUCAAACGAAAGAAAAAGUAGUACCAAAAGAUAAAUUAAUAGCAAGUCUUGUAGGGCAGAUAAUUUCCUUUCAGAGUGUGAUUGUAAAUAAAGUUUGUGAUAACAAUGCAUAUAUACAAUUGCAUAAAUACCAGAGCUAGUUGGAAAGCUCCCGUUAUUGUAACGUUGAAAGCUAUUUCCAAACUUAGAUUAUGGAAAGAAAGCACUAGGCAGUUAAUCAACGGUGGAAAAGAUUUCAAACACAAUCAGUUGUUUUUGUGUAAUAUAUUUGCUGAUGCAAGUACCACAAGUUAUGGUUUAUGGAGGUUUUAUAGAAAGUUGUAGCUUUAAUGUAGAUAUAGGCGAAAUGACUGUCAAGCUAACGAUUUUCAUAAAAAUAAAAAAGCAAAUUUAUUUUCAAUUUGUUUUAUUCCAAUGACGAAGAGAGUAAAUGUAUGUACUCGUGGUCUUUGAGACCCGAAAAUGAGAAAAUUGGAAUGUACAUGAUCUUAAUAAAAAGAGCAACCUGUUCCCGGAAGUGAACAGAUUAUUGACGAAAAGAGAAAAGUUAUUCCUGGAAGUGAUUACUAUAUUACACUGUUAAAAUCAAGAAGGUACACUGCCAGUGUUUUUAUAAACGAAACAGGUAAUGCAUAUUGUGAUUUAAUAUGAAGUCAAUACAUUAAGCCACCGGAAGUUGGUUUUCAAGAUAAACCGGAUAAGUAUUCCGUCGUUCAAUAUGACGUAAGUAAAAUUUCUUAUGAUCAAGAAAAUGCCUUGCAUACGGCUAGAAAAGGUAUGUUAUUGCUCCAGGAAGUUAGCAGAAAGAGUUUGCUAUGGUCCCUGGAAGUGGACAUAGAGCCCAGUAGAUUGCUCCCGGAAGUGAGCAGAAUUUGUAGGCUAUGGUCCCCGGAAGUGGACAUAGAGCCCAGUAGAUUGCUCCCGGAAGUGAGCAGAGAUGCUCCAUGAAGAGAGCAGAGAGUAUGCUAUGGUCCCCGGAUGUUAUGUUAUAUGAAAUGUUUUAAAUGCUUUGCAAAAUUCGUACAUCAAAGUGUAUUCAGACAAUAAAAUGUAAAAUCUAUAUUAUUGAAUGGUAGUCAAAAGAAAUAGCUUUAGAUUUAAAUAUGUAGUGUGGAUACUGGAUUCAAUGAAAAGAGGCAGUGGUUGCCUUAGUUCAAUAUGGGGAAACAAUGUAAACUGGUUAGUUCAGAAACUAGGUUGGUAUCAAUCUGUAUCAAUAAGAUGAUAUCGGAGAAAGCAAAAUGCAUCCUUGUUGUUCCAAAAAGGGGCAGUUCGCCUUAUUGGCUAAUGUUGGUUUGUCAUACGGACACAUUGUGAAAUAUUGCAAAAAGUUUGGUAGAGACUGUAUGAUUCCAGGUUGUUUUGGUAACACUAGAUUAUCAUUAAAUAAGAUAGCGUUAAGAUGCAUAUCACAAUACAGUUAUUGAUGUAUAGUACAUAUGUUUGACAGGAAAUGUUUUGAGAGGUACUCUGAAGGAGCGAUUAGAGGGCUCGGGCUUGCAUGGGCUUCGAAGAGAUUAGAUGGCGGACAGAAUGGCUGAGUAAAUACUUAGAACAAUCAAGAGCAGACAAUACGGUGAAGAAAAGAAUUCUUCAUGUGCACAUUUCAAAUACUGUGAAGAAAAUGUAGUCGCCAUGCCAGCCUUACAUAUAUCAGUAGUAAUGUACAUGGCUCAAUUGAUGGGUCGAGGACAUCUAAUAACGUUUUUUUUUACAUCUGUGUUUUACAGUAUUAAAUGGAUCCAUUCUAUUAAUAGUGUACAUGAUCCAAAGAAAGAUUUAACAAACUAUUAUAAGAAGCUUCAGAGCGUGUGUGUUUCAAACCAUCUCACAAGAAAGAUGUAUCAUGUACAUGUGCAUUCAUUAGAGAUGAUACAAACAUUGUGUUUGAUAUAAGGAGAUUCCUCUGUUUUCAUUGAUUGAUCAUUUUUUGGUUGUGCAUGUACAUGUAUCAUGAAUAUUAACAAAUUAAGUGAGUUUCAUUGUAAUGACCUACAUUUGACAUCUGAUCAUUUUGUUAUUAAUGUACGCCAUUAUAAUACUGGCAUGUAUAAGAAUGGUUCGGAUAGUAUAAUUGCAAAAUGUACAACUACAACUUCCAAUAUGGCGUUUUAUUAACAAAUAUGUAAUUAGCAAAUUGGUCAGAUGAAUCAAAUUAUUUUUGUUCAAACCAGUUAUUGGUUAUAUAUAUGUAAUAAUUUAGACUAGCUAACGCCGAGGGCGUGUUUUAGAGAUGUUUGAAGCGACAUGGUCGAUGGAAGUCUGAUAGGGCUAAAGAUGAGUACAUUGAUGAUUCUCUAGACAAAAAGCUUUUUAUCACUAGACAAUUGAAAUUAUAAUUGAUUUGCGGUUCGAAUUUAAAACCUUACUAACCUUUGUUUUUGUUCUAUCGCAAGCCUUGCCCAAUGCAAAACGUGUUGUGUUUUGUGCUUAGUUGUGUGAAGACUUUUCAGUUCUGUGCGUUACGGAGUAUAGCACAGAACGUAUGUCUAAACAUAACGCACCGCACAAAACAGGUAUAUGUGCGGUUCGUUCAUGCGUGUGGUUGUCACGUGAGUGAUGGUCACUCAGGUGGACACAGGCGGGAAUUUGCACGGGGUGUUGAUUGUUUGGUCAGUUCUACGCUAGACUUCGAUCAGUAAACUUUUACUUUUUUAAAUUCGAACCGCAUUAGUAGUAAAAUGGCUCAAAUGACAUGUUAUGUUUGUGUUACAUAAUGUUUAGUUACAUGUUAAUAUUGGUUGUUUUCAGGUACAGUUUUCCAGAGUUAUUUUACAUAGGGCUUCUGAUGAAUUUUUAUCUCUGGUUUUUACCCUGGCCUUGAAAACACCAAUUAAGGACACAAUACUAAAAGUGAUGUAUGCACAUUAUAGUUAUAAUUUGUUAUAUAAUUUAUAGUUCGAAAAUUGUCCUGUCAAGGUUGUACUACGAUUGUACUUGAUUGCUAUAUGAUACGAAUAUGUAAUAUUCGUGGAUUUGUGUUGUCAAUAAACUGAUCGCAAGCCUUGCCCAAUGCAAAACGUGUUGUGUUUUGUGCUUAGUUGUGUGAAGACAGAUAUUUCGAGGUUGUUUUGACCAUUGAAUUGCUAAGUAGGUCAAACUCAAAGUUUUAACUUUUAUUGAUAUUUUAUUUAGUUAAGGAAUCUUCGAGUAAUAGUUAAAAAAAAUCUUUCGCAAUCUAUAGCUAAAUCAUGUGUUGUUGCUAUAUGAUAAACUUUCGUGCAUGAGCCAUUUAAAUCCGUUUGCAUUACUUUUUUUGUUGUGUCCCCUGGAAAAUUCUCUUCUUGCUAGCCUUCGCUGAGUUAUUUAACAACAUUGCUGCUUUUUGUAGUUUUUUUGGUUAAAGCUGCAUGCUUUUGUUGGAUAAAGUUUUAUUUAUCAUUCACGUUUUACAUAUGAUUCUGUUUAAACCAUAUUUAAUCGAUGUUUUGGUGAAUUUCGCGCAUGCUUAACUUGCCUGAUUUCGGACGUAAUAUACUUUCGGAUACAUGCUCCUCUUGUGUUUUUUUCGAUGUUUUCUUAUGUAUGCAGAUUAAAAAAACAGCUCAUGCUUAAAUGUGUUAUUGAGCAAGUGACUUCUUAAUACUAUGGCAGGAAUAAAAAAAACUGUUAUAAAAUUAAAAAGGCAGUUUAGUUACAUGUAAUGAUGUAUAAACUCACAGUCACAAGUGUGUAGUAUUACUGUUACAUUUAUUUAUAUUUACUAAAAGUAAAUAUAUUCUCACAUAUCAGUAAGUAUUGUACAGCCCUAAAUUAUAUUUAAUACACCCAUCUAGGCAGUAAAUUCAUAUAUGUGCUGGUUUUAAUUUACAUUCAUGUUAUUAUCCCCCUGCAAUAGACGGAGGGAUAUUGUUUUGGCCUUGUCCGCCCGUCUUUCUGUCCGUCCGGCACUUUUGUGUUGGGAGCCAUAUCUUGGAAGUGCUUUGGCGGAUUUCAUUUAAACUUGGUAUGAGUAUAUAUAUAGAUAAGAGGAUGAUGCUUGCCAAAUGGCAAUGUACACUAUCUGUUAAUAACGGAGUUAUGGCCCUUCGAACCUAAAAAAAUGCUUUUUUACCUGAGUGUCAAAUAUAACACUUUUGUGUCCAGAAGCUAAUUAGCGGGGGAUAUCAAUUCAAUGGAUUUGCUUGUUAUUAAUUGAAUGGAAAUAAACCUGUUAUUUUGUCUGUCAUUAUGGUGUUUAAAAUCACAUUUAAUGGCAUCAAACCUACUUGAUUUCAAAUACAGUAACACCUGGCACCGUGACCUGGAUGCAGAUUCUAAGCAGAUGGGCCAAAAUGGGGGCAGCUGGAGAGACUCGCCCGGAACUGACAAGCCUGGAGGAAGCUGGUUGACUGUUGGCGAGAUGGGACAACAGACGAAGAAUAAACGAACCUACUUGAUUUGAUAAACACUUUUAUGUUUUUCAGUUUCGUCGGAAGACGUUUCCCAACAACCAUCCUGUCUUGAAAGAAAUAACUUUUGAACCCGAUUUUCUGAUAUUUUCCAGUUUCUCCUCACAACAAUAUGCAUCAAACCUCUUGUCUGUGGACAGGUUUAAAGUGGAAGUGACUAGUUAACUGUUGAUCAUAAGCUGCACUGAUGGAAAAAAUACCUGCUCAGACUAUAUCAUGUUUGGCAGACAAAACAUGCUGAUCAAAAAGAAUGUGUACCACAGGGGCCAGUGUUUCCAUUUGAGUGAUUGACAAGAAGAAGAGAUGAGAAAUGUUAUCAUAUUUUAAUCUCUACAUUUAUAGUGUACAGCUCAAUGUAUUGAACUGGUGUUGUAGAAUAUAAUUGGAGAUACAUGCGAACAUUAUAACAUUAUAUAUAAGAUGAUAUUUCAAAAGCAAUAAGAAAUAAAGAGUAUAAAAAGGUCAAAACAGUAGACCUUGUGUUUACAGUGGACAGGUUUAAAGUGGAAGUGACUAGUUAACUGUUGAUCAUAAGCUGCACUGAUGGAAAAAAUAGUGGGAAAUUACUAUCUAGAAAACUGUUUAACGUACGACAACAGUUGUGGAACUUCAUAAAUGACCGUAUGUAACAGGGCUGGGCAGUUUUCCUUAUAUAGCUAUAGUGAAACCUUUUGAACACUAGUGAAGUCACUGUUUUUUUCCAAUCUUUAUGCAUUUUGGUCGAAUAUUUGUUCAAAUGAUGGCUCAGUCCAGUUUCAGAAUUUUUAUGUCUAUUCAAAAAACAUAUCCACUAGAGCGCGAGGCAAUUGUCUUUAUAUGGCUAUAAUGAAACCUCGUAAAUUCUCUAGAAGUGACAUUUUUAGCCAUAUCUCCAUAAAUUUUGGUCAGAAUAUUUAUUCCAAUGAUAGCUCAGUUGUCGAGUUCUGAACUGGUUCCGGUUUGUAGACUAACAUGGCUGCCAGUGGACAUGAUAGUUUUUCUUAAAUUGCUAGAGUAGAACCUUGUUAACACACAAUUGGCCCUUUUUAUGUGCAUUUUUCAUGAAAGAUGAUAAGAGCAUUUGGCCCAAUGUAAUCUCAGCUGACUUUGAAACUGGAUCACAUAACGUUUAAAAGUGGGUCAAAAUGUCAAAUUAAAAAAAGCUUGUAAACACUGGAAGUUGCUUUUGAAAUUGUGUUCCUUUUUUAUGUCCCCCACUAUAGUAGUGGGGGACAUAUUGUUUUUGCCCUGUCUGUUUGUUGGUCUGUUGGUUGGUUUGCGCCAACUUUAACAUUUGCAAUAACUUUUGCAAUAUUGAAGAUAGGAACUUGAUAUUUGGCAUGCAUAUGUUUCUCAUGGAGCUGCACAUUUUGAGUGGUGAAAGGUCGAGGUCAUCCUUCAAGGUCAAAUAUAUGGGUCAAAAUCGCUCAUUUAAUGUACACUUUUGCAGUAUUUCAAUAUUCAAGAUAGCAACUUGAUAUUUGGCAUGCAUGUGUAUCUCAUGGAGCUGCACAAUUUGAGUGGUGAAAGGUCAAGGUCAGAUGUCAAAUAUAUGUGGCCAAAAUCGCUCAUUUUAUGAGUACUUUUGCAAUAUUGAAGAUAGCAACUUGAUAUUUGGCAUGCAUGUGUAUCUCAUGGAGCUGCACAUUAUGAGUGGUGAAAGGUCAAGGUCAUCCUUCAAGGUCAGAGGUCAAAUAUAUGUCGCCCAAAUCGCUAAUUUUAUUAAUACUUUUGCAAUAUUGAAGCUAGCAAUUUUAUAUUUGAAAUGCAUUUGUAUCUCAUGGAGCUGCACAUUUUGAUUGGUGAAGGGUCAAGGUCAUCCUACAAGGUCAAACGUCAUAUAGGGGGACAUUCUGUUUCACAAACACAUCUUGUUUAAAGUUUGUCAAAACAUUUGCUGUAAUGAUAAGCAAAGUCAAGUUUAUAAAUGAUUAUUUGCCUACAAAUUACCUAUUUUUCAUCAAGUAAAUUUAUUAUUCUAAACUACACCCUCUCAGAAUAGUUUAGUUCCUUCUGGUCACAGUCGAGCACCUUAGGGCUCUUGUUCUAUAAUUUGAUUGUUUUGGAAAAUUGUCAUUUUGCCAAAAUGUGAGCAAGUCCAAAUUUAAUUAACCCUGCUUUGUAGUAUCUUGUUUUCCUUAUAUGUAUAAAGUGGAAAAUUAUCUAUGAAUCUGACUGCAUAGAUAUUUGGUAUUCAGCAUAGCAUCGUGUAAAUGUAGUAAAACUAAACACAAUUGUGUCAUCAUAAAACUGGCCAUGCCAUGGGGGUCAAAUGGUUAAUACAGACUUGUAGGAAAAAGACUUCUAAAAAUUGUAUCUGUUAAAUAUAUUUUGUGUACAUAAUGAUAAGCUUUUUCCUUCAACUUAUC